rnacentral:rRNA from 1 species
AUUGAACGCUGGCGGCAUGCCUUACACAUGCAAGUCGAACGGCAGCAUAGGAGCUUGCUCCUGAUGGCGAGUGGCGAACGGGUGAGUAAUAUAUCGGAACGUGCCCUAGAGUGGGGGAUAACUAGUCGAAAGACUAGCUAAUACCGCAUACGAUCUACGGAUGAAAGGGGGGGAUCGCAAGACCUCAUGCUCCUGGAGCGGCCGAUAUCUGAUUAGCUAGUUGGUGGGGUAAAAGCCUACCAAGGCAACGAUCAGUAGCUGGUCUGAGAGGACGACCAGCCACACUGGGACUGAGACACGGCCCAGACUCCUACGGGAGGCAGCAGUGGGGAAUUUUGGACAAUGGGGGCAACCCUGAUCCAGCAAUGCCGCGUGAGUGAAGAAGGCCUUCGGGUUGUAAAGCUCUUUUGUCAGGGAAGAAACGGUAGUAGCGAAUAACUACUACUAAUGACGGUACCUGAAGAAUAAGCACCGGCUAACUACGUGCCAGCCGCCGCAGUAA